AACGAACGCUGGCGGCAGGCUUAACACAUGCAAGUCGAACGCGUGUAGCAAUACACGAGUGGCGCACGGGGUGAGUAACGCGUGGAUAUCUGCCUUUUGGUUCGGAAUAACUCCGGGAAACUGGAGCUAAUACCGGAUGGUUCCUACGGGAUAAAGAUUUAUCGCCAAAAGAUGAGUCCGCGUACGAUUAGCUAGUUGGUGAGGUAAUGGCUCACCAAGGCGACGAUCGUUAGCUGGUCUGAGAGGACGAUCAGCCACACUGGGACUGAGACACGGCCCAGACUCCUACGGGAGGCAGCAGUGGGGAAUAUUGGACAAUGGGGGCAACCCUGAUCCAGCCAUGCCGCGUGAGUGAUGAAGGCCUUCGGGUUGGUAAAGUCUCUUUGGUCGGGGACGGAGUGAUGACGGUACCCGGCCAGAAUAAGA
rnacentral:rRNA from 1 species